AGUGAACGCUGGCGGUAGGCCUAACACAUGCAAGUCGAACGGCAGCACAGUAAGAGCUUGCUCUUACGGGUGGCGAGUGGCGGACGGGUGAGGAAUACAUCGGAAUCUACUUUUUCGUGGGGGAUAACGUAGGGAAACUUACGCUAAUACCGCAUACGACCUACGGGUGAAAGCAGGGGAUCUUCGGACCUUGUGCGAUUGAAUGAGCCGAUGUCGGAUUAGCUAGUUGGCGGGGUAAAGGCCCACCAAGGCGACGAUCCGUAGCUGGUCUGAGAGGAUGAUCAGCCACCCUGGAACUGAGCCACGGUCCAGACUCCUACGGGAGGCAGCAGUGGGGAAUAUUGGACAAUGGGCGCAAACCUGAUCCAGCCAUACCGCGUGGGUGAAAAAGGCCUUCAGGUUGUAAAGCCCUUUUGUUGGGAAAGAAAAGCGGCAAGUUAAUACCCCGCUGUUCUGACGGUACCCAAAGAAUAAGCACCGGCUAACUUCGUG
rnacentral:rRNA from 1 species